rnacentral:rRNA from 1 species
UAGGGAAUCUUCGGCAAUGGGGGCAACCCUGACCGAGCAACGCCGCGUGAGUGAAGAAGGUUUUCGGAUCGUAAAGCUCUGUUGUAAGUCAAGAACGAGUGUGAGAGUGGAAAGUUCACACUGUGACGGUAGCUUACCAGAAAGGGACGGCUAACUACGUGCCAGCAGCCGUGGUAAUACGUAGGUCCCGAGCGUUGUCCGGAUUUAUUGGGCGUAAAGCGAGCGCAGGCGGUUUGAUAAGUCUGAAGUUAAAGGCUGUGGCUCAACCAUAGUUCGCUUUAGAAACUGUCAAACUUGAGUGCAGAAGGGGAGAGUGGAAUUCCAUGUGUAGCGGUGAAAUGCGUAGAUAUAUGGAGGAACACCGGUGGCGAAAGCGGCUCUCUGGUCUGUAACUGACGCUGAGGCUCGAAAGCGUGGGGAGCGAACAGGAUUAGAUACCCUGGUAGUCCACGCCGUAAACGAUGAGUGCUAGGUGUUGGAUCCUUUCCGGGAUUCAGUGCCGCAGCUAACGCAUUAAGCACUCCGCCUGGGGAGUACGACCGCAAGGUUG